GGCCCGAUGGUCUAGUGGUAUGAUUUUCCCUUAGGGUUGCAUCCUUAAAUGAGGAUCUCAAUUUGGGAGAGGUCCCGGGUUCAAUCCCCGGUCGGGCCC